GCCGUGAGGUGUUGGGUUAAGUCCCGCAACGAGCGCAACCCUCACUCUAUGUUGCUAUCGGGUAAUGCCGGGCACUCUUAGGGAACUGCCGGCGAAGAGCUGGAGGAAGGGGGGGAUGACGUCAAGUCCGUAUGCCCCUUAUGUCCAGGGCUACACACAUGCUACAAUGGCCGAUACAGAGGGUUCCCAACCCGCGAGGGGGAGGCAAUCCCACAAAGUCGGUCUCAGUUCGGAUUGCAGGCUGCAACUCGCCUGCAUGAAGUCGGAAUCGCUAGUAAGCGCAGAUCAGCAGGCUGCGCUGAAUACGUUCCCGGGCCUUGUACACACCGCCCGUCACACCACGAAAGCCGGUUGUACCAGAAGUCGCUGAGCCAACCCGCAAAGGAUGCAGGCGCCGAAGGUAUGGUCGGUGAUUGGGGUGAAGUCGUAACAAGGUAGCCGUAGGGGGAACCUGCGGCUGGAUCACCUCCUUUUCUAAGGAGCCUUCGAGGGGUCCGGGGGUUCUAACGGAUCUCCGGGCCCUCCUAAGCUUCAACUUCCGCAGCAACGCACCCUUCCUCGUGUGAGCCAGUAGCAUUAUUUUCUUCUGGGCCUUUAGCUCAGCUGGCUAGAGCGCGCGCUUGAUAAGCGCGAGGUCCCUGGUUCGACCCCAGGAAGGCCCACCAGAAUGGCAGCCUUGGAGAUGCAGCUCAAGGGGAUGUAGCUCAGCUGGGAGAGCACCUGCUUUGCAAGCAGGGGGUCGCCGGUUCGACUCCGGUCAUCUCCACCAGGCGAAAAGCGAUAGAGCCACAGUUCAGAAUGUGGCGGCUCUGGCCGCACGGCUCUUUGACAACCGAAUACGUUGAUUCUCGAGUGUAGCCAAGCAAUGUUCUCCAAAAGUAGGCAAUGAAGUUCGUGGUCAAGCUACUAAGGGCGAACGGUGGAUGCCUUGGCGCCAGGAAGCGAUGAAGGGCGUGGCUAGCUGCGAUAAGCCUCGGGGAGCCGCAAGCAGGCUUCGAUCCGAGGAUGC
rnacentral:sRNA from 1 species